AUUUUGGCAUAGCGCCCAAAAUCUCCUCCUCUUCAUUUCUCUAUCGCAGCUUCUCUGCCUUUCCUCUUCAGAAAUUUCCAAGCGUCUCCACCCCUGCAUACCCGAGCCAAUUCCACCGUUUUUUUUUGGUUUCUACUACUAACCCUAGGUGUUUCUUCACUUCUUUUUCUCUGCCUGUGUUCCUCCCCGCGCCUUCCUCUCCCUCACUCUCAGUUAGUCAUCAUCAUUCACACCACUUACUCUUGCAGCCUUGCAAACCCUCACAGGUUGCAGCCUUGCAACCUCGCGUCAAGCACUUGCCGGCCUCGCCGUCUCGACAGCCAUCACAGAGGUUUCCUAUAAGAGGCUGAGUUGAAAUUACUUGGUGUCUAUGAAUGCUGCAAAGAGGUUACUCCAGGAGUUUGUUGAAAAGCAUGAAAAUGGGUUCAAAGUGGUGUAUGUUUUGGCUGGCUGGUUGAAGAGCGAUCCUUCAAGCUACCAUCUAAGGCUUGUUUCUGGGCCUAAAUUUACAGGACAAUGUUGCACUUAUUGUUAGAUUAGAAAUGGUACAGUGUUUAUUUCAAAUUCUACAGCCUUAUAUCCUAAAUUCUUGAGUGCUGACUGCUGACACAGUUGUCUCUUUCGGCCACAGUCAAAUACCCAUUUACAUGCAAAUAUAAAAAAUCCAGACAUAAAAUUGUUGCAGGUGCUGUGUGUAAAAUGCAACUCUUCCUUCUGUUAGUUUUGUGUUUAAGGAGCAAAAUUGACUUAAUUUGCUUCUUUGUUGAUACAAGGUUGUAACCCUCAUCCAUGCACUUGAGAAAAUUUCCAAGUUGAAGAUUCCCUUGCUGAUUUGAACUCUGUGCCUCAGAGUGAUCCUUAUACGUUCAAAAGCAAGGGCAGAGUUGAGAUUUUUCCCAACAAGGAAGCUGAUAAAUCGGGCAUAUUGCAGACAAUCAAGCUUUCUCAUUCAUUGAAUCUGGUAAGUGCAUAUGCAACUUUUUUUCAGUCCUAUGGCGUCGAGGAUCACCAACAUGAGAAGAAGAAUCCUGAAACCAAGGAGCCUUUGUUCUCCAACUUUACACCAUUCUUCUUUGGAAACUAUUUGUUGUGGUUUUUUCUUUUUUGUUCGGAUAUCUUGUAUGUACAUUUUCAUAUAUUUUAUAAUUAAAUACUUUUUCUUGGUUUA